rnacentral:rRNA from 1 species
CGCGUAGGCAGCAGCGUGUGUCGGGCGUGAAAUCCCACGGCUCAACCGUGGAAGUGCACUCGAAACUGCGCAGCUAGAGUCUCGGAGAGGAAGGCGGAAUGCUUGGUGUAGAGGUGAAAUUCGUAGAUAUCAAGCGGAACACCGGUGGCGAAGGCGGCCUUCUGGACGAUGACUGACGCUGAAGCGCGAAAGCGUGGGGAGCAAACAGGAUUAGAUACCCUGGUAGUCCACGCCGUAAACGAUGAGUGCUAGGUGUCACGGGCUUUGACCCUCGUGGUGCCGCAGCUAACGCGUUAAGCACUCCGCCUGGGGAGUACGGCCGCAAGGCUAAA